UGAUUUCUUCGGAAUGAAUAAUGAUAUGACUGAGUGGCGGACGGGUGAGUAACGCGUGAGCAACCUGCCCUUCGGAGGGGGAUAACGGCUGGAAACGGCCGCUAAUACCGCAUAAGCGCACGGAGCCGCAUGGCCCUGUGUGAAAAGUUUUAAUGCUAUGGGAUGGGCCCGCGUCAGAUUAGUUAGUUGGCGGUGUAACGGACCACCAAGACGACGAUCUGUAGCCGGACUGAGAGGUUGGACGGCCACAUUGGGACUGAGACACGGCCCAAACUCC
rnacentral:rRNA from 1 species